rnacentral:rRNA from 1 species
UACGUAGGGGGCGAGCGUUAUCCGGAUUUACUGGGCGUAAAGCGCGUUAAGGCGGUCGGCUAAGUUGGUUGUGAAAUUUCAGGGCUCAACCCUGAAACUGCGUCCAAUACUGGUCGACUAGAGUGCGAGAGAGGAAGGUGGAAUUCCCGGUGUAGUAGUGAAAUGCGUAGAUAUCGGGAGGAACACCAGUGGCGAAGGCGGCCUUCUGGCUCGCAACUGACGCUGUAGCGCGAAAGCGUGGGUAGCGAACGGG